rnacentral:rRNA from 1 species
CCUACGGGUGGCAGCAGUGGGGAAUAUUGCACAAUGGGGGAAACCCUGAUGCAGCGACGCCGCGUGAGGGAUGAAGUAUUUCGGUAUGUAAAGCUCUAUCAGCAGGGAAGAAAAUGACGGUACCUGACUAAGAAGCCCCGGCCAACUACGUCCCAGAAGCCGCGGGAAUACGGAGGGGGCAAGCGGUAUCCGGAUUUACUGGGUGGAAAGGGCGCGUAGACGGCGGUGAAAGACAGGUGUGAAAGCCCGGGGCUCAACCCGGGACUGCAUUUGGAACUGGGCUGCUGGAGUGUCGGAGAGGCAGGCGGAAUUCCUAGUGUAGCGGUGAAAUGCGUAGAUAUUAGGAGGAACAUCAGGGGCGAAGGCGGCCUGCUGGACGAUGACUGACGUUGAGGCUCGAAAGCGUGGGGAGCAAACAGGAUUAGAUACCCGUGUAGUC